AUGGGAUCGAUUUUUUACCUGAAAAGUAGCUCAGCAAUGCUGGUAAUGAUGUCGCUCUCUGCUUCUUCUACUUCUGGUUCUCUUCGUCUUCUUUUAUCUUCCUCUUUGAAUCCUGAGUGUUCUUGUGUUGUUGGUUCGUGUUGCGUCAUGGCGCUGCUGUUGCGUAUUGCUUCGGUUGUGAGCUGA